UACCUGGUUGAUCCUGCCAGUAGUCAUAUGCUUGUCUCAAAGAUUAAGCCAUGCAAGUCUAAGUACGAGCUCUCGUACAGUGAAACUGCGAAUGGCUCAUUAAAUCAGUUAUGGUUCAUUUGAUCGUACAGUUUACUUGGAUAACUGUGGUAAUUCUAGAGCUAAUACAUGCGAGAAGCGCCGACCUCGCGGGAGGCGUGCAUUUAUCAGACCAAAAACCGGCCGCGUCUUCGGGCGCGUUCGCCUUGGUGACUCUGGAUAACUUUGCGGAUCGCACGGUCUAGCACCGGCGACGGAUCAUUCAAGUGUCUGCCCUAUCAACUUUCGUCGGUACGGUAUUUGCCUACCGAGGUUCUUA
rfam:Ciona savignyi cont_45391, whole genome shotgun sequence.